rnacentral:rRNA from 1 species
UACGUAGGGUGCGAGCGUUAAUCGGAAUUACUGGGCGUAACGCGUGCGCAGGCGGUUCGUGAUGUCUGCUGUGAAAGCCCCGGGCUCAACCUGGGAAUUGCAUUGGAAACUAGCGGGCUGGAGUGUGGCAGAGGGGGGUGGAAUUCCACGUGUAGCAGUGAAAUGCGUAGAGAUGUGGAGGAACACCGAUGGCGAAGGCAGCCCCCUGGGCUAACACUGACGCUCAUGCACGAAAGCGUGGGGAGCAAACAGG